AACGCUGGCGGCGUGCCUAAUACAUGCAAGUCGAGCGGACUUGAUGGAGCUUGCUCCAUUAAGUUAGCGGCGGACGGGUGAGUAACACGUGGGCAACCUGCCUGUAAGACUGGGAUAACUCCGGGAAACCGGAGCUAAUACCGGAUAGUAUCUUGAACCGCAUGGUUCAAGUUGGAAAGACGGUUUCGGCUGUCACUUACAGAUGGGCCCGCGGCGCAUUAGCUAGUUGGUGAGGUAAUGGCUCACCAAGGCAACGAUGCGUAGCCGACCUGAGAGGGUGAUCGGCCACACUGGGACUGAGACACGGCCCAGACUCCUACGGGAGGCAGCAGUAGGGAAUCUUCCGCAAUGGACGAAAGUCUGACGGAGCAACGCCGCGUGAGUGAUGAAGGUUUUCGGAUCGUAAAACUCUGUUGUUAGGGAAGAACAAGUGCGAGAGUAACUGCUCGCACCUUGACGGUACCUAACCAGAAAGCCACGGCUAACUACGUGCCAGCAGCCGCGGUAAUACCGUAGGUGGCAAAGCGUUGUCCGGAAUUAUUGGGCGUAAAGCGCGCGCAGGCGGUUUCUUAAGUCUGAUGUGAAAGCCCCCGGCUCACCCGGGGGA
rnacentral:rRNA from 1 species